rnacentral:rRNA from 1 species
GGAAUCUUGGACAAUGGGCGCAAGCCUGAUCCAGCCAUGCCGCGUGAGUGAAGAAGGCCUUCGGGUUGUAAAGCUCUUUUACCAGGGACGAUAAUGACGGUACCUGGAGAAUAAGCCCCGGCAACCUUCGUGCCAGCAGCCGCGGUAAUACGAAGGGGGCUAGCGUUGUUCGGAAUUACUGGGCGUAAAGCGCACGUAGGCGGAUUGUUAAGUCAGAGGUGAAAUCCCGGAGCUCAACUUCGGAACUGCCUUUGAUACUGGCAAUCUAGAGUCCGGAAGAGGUUAGUGGAAUUCCCAGUGUAGAGGUGAAAUUCGUAGAUAUUGGGAAGAACACCAGUGGCGAAGGCGGCUAACUGGUCCGGUACUGACGCUGAGGUGCGAAAGCGUGGGGAGCAAA